rnacentral:lncRNA from 1 species
GUUCGCAUUUUAAUGGCAAUCCUUGAAAACCUAAAAGCCUUAGAAACUAGAAGAAAUCAAUGUUUAAUGAUGGAACUUGAAACAUUAUGACAAAGGAGAAGGAGCUGAAAGGAAUUUUUAGACAUCACUGAGUGCAACCAAUUCAUCUUCUGCAUGAGCAAACAUAGAAGGAGAGAGAGAAAUGACAGGUGUCACACUACAGCCCCAGAUUUCCUAACACAAACUCCAGGAAAAGAAUCAUAUUGACUCACCUAGUAAUCUACCAAGCCCUGUCAGAGGCUAUGGACCUUCCUAUUCCACUUUUCAACGCCUGUCAAAGAUGACAAAGAUGACAAACAAGUGCUUCAUUUAGCACCAAUUUAUCAGUGGAAAAGGGGAUUUGAUGACUUCAUGUUCGUGGAUGGCGAUGUACCAUGCUUCCACACCGGAGGGAGGCAAAACCUCAAAACCUUGGCAUUUCUAUGCAUGAUUUUAACAGCUUGAGUUAUAUAAAUGCUUUUUGCUGUAGGAAAAAAAAAAAAAAAGCCAGGCAUCAACAAAAACACCUUCCACAAAAUGACUAGGUAAUAAAGAUUAAGAAUA